rnacentral:tRNA from 11 species
CAGUAGCUGAGUGGAUAACGCAUUGGCGUUUGAAGUGAAAGGUACUGGGUUCGAGUCCUAGAGUGAA